rnacentral:rRNA from 1 species
GACGAACGCUGGCGGCGUGCCUAAUACAUGCAAGUCGAACGGUCUUUUCUAUGGAAGCUUGCUUCCACUGAGAAGAUAGUGGCGAACGGGUGAGUAACACGUGGGUAACCUGCCCAUAAGAGGGGGAUAACAUCCGGAAACGGGUGCUAAUACCGCAUAGUUUUCUUGAUCGCAUGAUCGGGAGAGGAAAGACGGCCUUUGUGCUGUCGCUUAUGGAUGGACCCGCGGCGUAUUAGUUAGUUGGUGAGGUAAUGGCUCACCAAGACGAUGAUACGUAGCCGACCUGAGAGGGUGAUCGGCCACAUUGGGACUGAGACACGGCCCAAACUCCUACGGGAGGCAGCAGUAGGGAAUCUUCCGCAAUGGACGAAAGUCUGACGGAGCAACGCCGCGUGCGUGAAGAAGGUUUUCGGAUCGUAAAACUCUGUUGUCAGAGAAGAACAAGUUGGAGAGUAACUGCUCCAGCCUUGACGGUAUCUGACCAGAAAGCCACGGCUAACUACGUGCCAGCCGCCGCGGUAAAAC